rnacentral:rRNA from 1 species
AUGGCUGCUGCAUCCUUCGUUACCUACCUCGAGACGCCUAGAGAGUUCCGGCUGCUGGGGUUCCGGGCGCCGCCGCCGUCUCCGGUCACCGGCGUUGUGACAAACGGUGGCUCUGGAUCACCUGAGUACGGUGAGUGCCCCGACGGCAACGAAGAUGACGAGGUCGGCAGGUUCCUGCGUCGCUCCGCCAAGGUCCCGGUGCUGCGGCUGCCGGAGAGGGCCAUCCCGCGGAAGAAGAAGAGUGAUAAGGCGGCGUGGGCUCCCCCAGUCAUCGACAUGCGCCUGCUGGACACGCCGGAUGGCAGUGGUCCGGUGGUGGAGGCUCUGAGGUCGGCGGCCGUCGCGUUUGGCUGCUUCCAGGUGGUUGGCCAUGGGGUCAAUUUGUGCCUGGUCUCUGCUGCGGCGGGGAGGGCGAGUUCGCCUACGCCGGAGGAGGCCGGUGGAGAAGAUGGUGAGGAGCUGUGGUGGUCACCAAGCGAAGGAGACCAGUUGAGGAACGGGGCAGCCGAUCUGUUCACCCAGCUGGAGCAAACCGCAGCCAAACUGGUGGAUGCCUUGCAGCGGGACAGCGUUGGCGCCACCAUGGUCAGAGCUGACAGGAACGGCUCGCAACUCUGCAUCCGCACGCACCACGGCCGGCAGUGCGAUAUCGGCCCUAUCACUAUCAGCCAGGACGACAUCCUGAGGAUGCUGAUCAAGAGCUCGCGCUGCCCGCGUGCUCUCGCUCUCCACCUCUGCCCCGGCGCCUCCACGUUCCACGUCUUCUCCCGGCAGCGGGGAUGGUCCAGGUUCCGCCCCCUCGGUGGCGCCGUCGUGGUCACCGUCGGAGACCAGCUUCAGGUGACGCACCAGUCUCUUGAGCGUGACCCUUUUUUCAGACGAAAUCUGGCCGAUCUUACAAAUGCACGCUGCAUCAUCAUCACAAUCGUACAUUGCCUUCCGGUUUACCUGCUUCGCUCUCCACAUAUGCAGGCAUGCAGCAGUGGACUCUACAAGAGCGUGGCCGGGAAACCGGCUUACAGCGACGGCGAUCUCCGAGCAGAACGCGGCUGCGACGUCGUCUCGGCGGAGUACCUCCACACCUGCUCUUCGGCUAGCAUGGAGAGCGAGCCCCUGGACGCGGAUGCCGGGAAGACCAUUCAGUUGAAUGUGCAGAUCAUUGUAGCAGCUUGCCUUGUGCUCCUUUACUACUUUCUCCUGUCAUGCUUGUAUACGAUUUGGUCUUGA